rnacentral:rRNA from 1 species
CCUACGGGUGGCUGCAGUGAGGAAUAUUGGUCAAUGGGCGCGAGCCUGAACCAGCCAUGUAGCGUGAAGGAUGACUGCCCUACGGGUUGUAAACUUCUUUUAUAAAGGAAUAAACUGAGGCACGUGUGCCUUUCUGUAUGUAUUUUAUGAAUAAGGAUCGGCUAACUCUGUGCCAGCAGCCGCGGUAAUACGGAGGAUCCGAGCGUUAUCCGGAUUUAUUGGGUUUAAAGGGUGCGUAGAUGGUGUGUUAAGUCAGUUGUGAAAGUUUGCGGCUCAACCGUAAAAUUGCAAUUGAUACUGGCAGCCUUGAGUACAGUUGAGGUAGGCGGAAUGCGUGGUGUAGCGGUGAAAUGCUUAGAGAUCACGAAGAACUCCGAUUGCGAAGGCAGCCUACUAAGCUGCGACUGACAUUGAGGCUCGAAAGUGUGGGGAUCAAACAGGAUUAGAUACCCUGGUAGUC